ensembl:lncRNA
AGAGCUUGUAGUAUGACUAGUUAUGUUUUGAAUUGGCUAUAUAGUUAGUCUAUCAUUAUUUUAUAGGCUACCUCUGGCAACGGCCCACUGGCACACACGCAAAUGAUGCACAGCACACAGAGACACGCUGAAGGUUAGGCCUAAUUCUGAUCAUGGCUGAUAGAUUGAUAAUAUACUGUAUUUAGGAAAACGCAAUAUUAAAAUUCCAUGACUUUCCCUUAUUUGAUAACUUGGAAAAGCGCAUUCAGGCAUGGCGCAUUCUCAAUCUGCGCAUUCUCAAACUCAGUCUACUGGUACGCAUAUACCGGAUUCACAGACUAGUGGCAAAUAAACCUGAACACAGUGGAAUCAGGCUAUGAAUGCCCACUCUCCAUUGCUAUUUGAUUCCUGUCCCACCUUCAUUCCGUUUUGAUCAACCUUUUUUUUGACGCUGUGUGUGAAUCCGGGCCGGCGAUAGGCAACUUUGUUUCAUAGAGGAGCCGGUAUGCAGUUCUCAAAAAAUUGGAGGUGCCGGUACAGCACUUCAGACAGCUCUGGCCCAUGUCGAGCACUGGUUAUUACACAUUGGUAGCUUUAGCCUACUAUUUCACUUGCACCAAAAGCUUUUAAUCCUUUAGCAUCACAUUAUUUUGUGUAAAAAAAUAUAUUAUGCACCUGGAGGUAUUAAUCGAUCUUUGUUUUUUCUAUACAGAAAUGGAACAUGUUUUCAAUUUGCAAAAACAAGAUCCAAAAAGAGUAGUCUUCUAUGACAAGACCAAGGAUGGACCUGAUCAGUGAGGUAGUGAAUGUCUGUCAACACUAACCUCCUCCCUACCUGGGUGCUGCGGUUAUAAUCCCCUUGGAAAAAAAAAAUCGAGACAACUGUGAUAUUGGGACUGACGGAUGAGUGUCCUGUGACAGACUUUCAUUGAAAAUAUAGAAUGGCAUAAUGGGGACACAUUUUUUGCCGGGGGUGGGGGGCAUCGCCGCAGAGGAGAGGAAGACGAGGGGAAGGGUAAUGUGAGGACGUAUAAAUCCAAGUAUUGGAAUUAAUUUGAGCACAGAAGCUUCUGACGCUCUGGACUACACAAAGACGCAAACACUUGAAAGAGAUGCUGGGUGCCUCAGACUCCCAUGUGAACGGACACUUGUGACACUUUCUGCUGUGUUAGACAUUGGUCUCAUAGCGCCUUCCUCUGGGUGUUGAGGAGAAAUAAGAUGAAGGCCCAAACUGCACCUCCCAAGCCUUUAUCCUGUUGCCCAUUGAACUAUAUAUGGCGAGUAUCGGUCUUACAGUAAGAUGCCUCAAUCACUUUAUGUCCUCAUGCAUUCAAAUUAUUCCAAUAUAUGUAGAUCUGUGCUAUGAUUUAUACAUACACAUCAGUAUAUGUGCAAAUUUGAAUUCAUUUUGAAAUAAAAUGAACUAUAAGCUCAGAUAAGAAUGCCUUGAAACUGAAAGAUUACGAGAAGACUGUUAGGCUGCAGGUUAAAUGAUAAAUACAUUUGAGGGAAAGCAUUUGUCUUAAUUACUUUAGUGAAAUAACUAUGCCCAGCAAAGAACUGACUGCUGGGUAUCUCUUGACACCCAUUUUGUUUUGUAUGGUUUAGCGAUUUCAGAUGUGAUCUACAGUAGGAACAAACUCCCAGAGCACAGAUGGGUUCAUUCUAAUCUUGUGGUUCGGUUCUCACUUUUUGGUAGGCAUGCUAAUCAGUUGAAAAAACAGUUUUAUUAUAUAAUUGUCUUCAUCUGAGUUUUGCUUUUAUGUUUAUUAUUUUGACUCUUCUUAAGCCCUUGCAGUUGUCAGUCCACAUAAUUAAUUUCAAAUUAAGAUGGAUGUAGGCUGUUCCUUAAUUUGUAGCUUCUCUUGAGCUAUUCACCUGAUUGUGGGAGUUUUAUGAAAGAUGAGAAGUGACUUAUUGUGGCACAAGGGCUAUGUAUGUGUUUUUUUUUUUGGUUUGGUGUAUUUGAUCCGUAAGAGGCUCAAGAUGUCAGUAAUUCAUUAGACCCACCUAGGCUAUAUUUGCUGAUACUACAUGGAGAAAUGGCUCAUUUCCUUAUUUUCUUGCUCAAGCAAUUUGCUUUUCAUUUGCUAGCCAACUUAUUCAGCCUAAGAUACUCUUUGCUUUUUCAGCUUUUGGUCUUUUAAUCUCUCUCUAGUUAUGACAAUGUAUUUCUUGCACAGAGUAUUGGUGUGGAUGAGACUUGAAAAGUCGCAGUUUAAUAUAACCAAGAAAAGAUGACAGAACCAUCGCAAUACUAAUUAUUUCAUGUCGCAGACCAGCCACUUUGUUAUACUGUUUGUAGAGAUGUGGUGAUAAUUUCAUAAUACAGUUUCAUCCAGUCAGUGUCUUUGAUCAAAGUGGUUGUGUCAAGAGGCCUAUACAUGGCAAGGCAGGCCACAUUUGGUAAUACAAUGAGUGGACAGCCACAAUGUCAUUGGAACUACCAUCUCUUUUUUUUCUCUUUUUUUGGGGCUAAGGGAGGAAGUGUCUUAGCUUAUUUUCUCUAGCAUAAGUGAUUUGGUUGUGUGGAUUAAUAGCACUUUAUGUAACACUUUUAAAAAAAUAUAUAUUUUAAUUACUACAGAUACACAUACUAUAUGAAAUACUAACUUCUUUUAAGAAUGGCUUUGGACUGUUGUUCUUUUUAAGACAAAUAAAUGAAUAAAUACCGAAAUACAAAAUGUCACUCAGGUAGUAUUGUUAAAGCCAUGACAAAGUUGGAUAAUAUUGUGUUCUGCCAAAUGGUUCAGAACAAAAUCCUCGUAUUGUGCUCAAAUAUGAAUUGGAGUGAUAUUUAAUAAUGAACUACAGAGCUGUGAUUUAAAAUACCAAAACAUUUUGCUUGCCGAAAACACUGACAUGGCUUGCAAUCAGCUGUCAUAGAUAUGUAGGCUUCGAACCUUUACGUUUUCUGUUCAGGCAAUUUCACUUUAAGCACACUGAUUUCCACCGGUUUCCACCUGUAAUAGGACAGUGUGAUCUUACUGUCCCUGAUUUUUAGACUUUAUUAUUAUUAUUUUACCUCUUCAUUCAUGGGCUGAAGCAUUUCUGAGUGUACCUACUGCUGAAUCCCAGUCCAGGUUAUAUGCAAAGGCAGGAAUCUAUGCCUGAGAUUCCUAGUCCAGCCCUCUCUUGGGGUUCCUGGUAACCUCUUGGCUUAUUCUUGCAGACAAAGGGAAGUACAAGAUGGUCAAACACACCCCUGUUGUGUACAAAACUGUGUCUCACACACUAAGUUACUUCACUGUGGAAUUCUGAGCAAAGGAUAGACCUCUGGGACGUGGUAUUUAAAACCUUUAGUUUUGCUUCCAUUCUAUGCCGUGUGUUGAAGUAUUAUCAGAUUAGAUCAGCUUCAAUCAAGAGCACAAUAUCUUAUUUUGCUAAUGCUGCACAACAGCGAAAAUAUCACUUAUUUUGACUUGAUUGGCAGCGGAAAUUAUUUUUGUGCGAUGGACAACCCAGUUUGCAAUGGUGGACAAUAGCGGCAAAAAGUGUUUUGGAUUUUUGUGCUAUAAUUGUUUAUGCACAGUUGAUGUAACUUUACUGGGUUCCCUAAAUAUUGGAAUAUGAAACACCAGAUCAUACCAUGAGGUAAAAAAGCCAAAACAAGCUGUCUUUUUCAUAACUCUAACCCUUUUUUUACAUUUGAUCCUGAGUGGAAGAACAAGAAGCCCUAUGCUUCUUUGUAAAACGGGGGGGGGGGGCAAGUCUCUUGCCUGGGUGUGUAGAAAUGUGCUAACAGUCCAAAGUACUUCAUCUGUUCAUUGUUUUUGAUUCCGACAUGUCCCCUUAUGUUGAAUUUGAUUCUUAAAGCCCCUGUGCAGUCAAAUGUAAUUUCCUGUGUUUUAUAUAUUUCCACACUGAGGUUGUAAUAAUAUUGUGAAAAUGAUGAUAAUGACCAGAAAUUUCAGCCUGUGUUGGUGGGAUGGAGUUUUGGCCUGCCUGGUGACAUCACUAUGCGGUAAAUUAGUUAAUAGACCAAUAAGAAAGAGUUCCAAACCUCUCUGCCAGUAACAGCUAGGCAAGUUUUCAGUUUUCCUACUCAGGCCACUCCCAGACAGUCCUAGCAAUUAUUAUGUUGAGAAAUUGUUCUUUGCUAAGCUUUUUUUCCCCAAUUAAAUCAGUCAAAUAUAAUCACACUAAGGUACCUAUUGUUCCCAGAAAUGAUUUGAUAUUUAGGUAACAGCUGCAUUGGACCUUUUUUUAGAGGGAUCAGUGAUCUCCAGGGAAAUAUUGCAAAAGUCUUCAAGCACUUAAGCAAAAUGGGUGUUUUUAUUUUUCUUGUCCAUGCAUUUCAGAAAAACAUAUAGCUAUAUUACUUAACGAUAGUGUUGUAGCCUGUAAACCAAAAACCGGUUCUUAAUGGAGAUUGUUUAAUGAGCACUCUGCUGGGCAAGUGAGCGAGUUGGUGUGAUGAAAGAAAAGCAUGAAAGUGAAGAUUCUCUGUAUUUUCAACCCCCUUAGGAGGUGCAAGCACCUCAAGGAUACUCACACAGGCCUCUGAGUUCUGAAUGAUUGGUUAGGCCACUUUGCCUAGCUGUUUGGUGUGUGUGUGUGUGUGUGUGUGUGUGAAAGUGAGUUCUUCCAAUUAUAUGCAAGUGUCCCAUUUUUUUUUCAAGACCUCAUGUUCAGGUGCCUGUGUGAAAAGUAUGCUUUUACAGUAAUUUUAAGAAUAUUUUUGUGUGUUUUGAAAAUUGUUACUAAAAGCGAUGUGCCAUUUUCUUUGUCCAAUUUCUUUCUACAACAUUUUGCAAUGCUGUUGAACAUUUCUUACAGCUUCCUUUCACUGACAUGGAAGAAGCUGAAAGCAAUGUGCGUUUUAGCUGUUUUGAAUGAAUUUCACAGCUCUCAAUCAUAUGACCUGCAAAUAAUUGUUCAGUGGGCUUGCGUUUGAAUAAACUGCUUGCUGGUAUAUUCUAGUCAGUCCGUUAUGGUCUGAAGUAGAGCAACGUUGACUUUUACUUUUCAAUUGAUCUAACACGUGUUUAAUAAGCUGUUUUUUAUUUUUGAAUGUUCACUUUUUAUUUGUAGUUGCACAACCCGAGCGAAACUACUUUGCUUCAAAGGAAAAUGGGGAGAAUUAGGCAAAGGUGUCUCAUUUGAUCAUAACACGUACCUACUUUUUAAAAGACCAUUUAUGUUACUGUACAUUGAAGCUGAAUUCUCAAUUUUAUAUAAAGCCCCAAUGUUCGGAUCCUUGUGGCUGAAAACAAUGUUAAGCCUACUCCUUGCUUAGUUUUGCUAUUUUUCAGAGUACACAUGAUUUAUGUUCAAUGCAUUUCCUCAAAUAGUAAUGGUGGCGAUGUGAGCACUGAACACCAAGUGUUCCUGAUAAGAAUUUCUCCCUGACAUUCAUCACGUGUUAAAGGGGAGCGAUGUAAAGGAGAUAUAUGUACUGUUUGAUAACCAUCUUAUUUCAAGUUUGCCAAAGGUACAGUACACAACUCAAAUAUUCAGCUACUGUAUGGUCCAUGCACUUAGAUUGGAAAGACUGAUGGUUUAAGCCUAAGCCACCUGUUGUCUGAGCCAGUCAGGUUUGGGUGGGACCACAGCAGCUGAAUGCAAUUGUGGGAGUCUGUCCCCCCCAAACCCAUAAAUAGAAAUAAUAACAAAUACCAAAAGUGCUGCUUCUUCCGGUUAUCGAUUGUCUGUAAUGGGAAAUGCUGGACUUAGUGUUUUGUGCUCCAUUUUUGUCCUGUCUCCCACUUCUUGCUGUCAUGCCUGCUGUUAAAACGUUUUUGUAUGGGGGGAGUGGGCGGGCGCACGCAUGUUUACUCUCUUUGGCACCUGAGAUAUUUGUAGACACACAUCACUAUGUUAACGACAAGGAAGAAGUGUUAUUUCUAGGGCUCCACAGUGCUACUGCUUCUUUUGAAAGGUGGUGUGGUCAUACGGAAUAUGUGUCUGAAGAUUACAGCUGUGUGGUGCCAAGUCCAUCUCUGUACCAGUUCUCACUGUCAUAUCUUGUUGUGCCUGUUGAUGAGUUAUCAAUCUGCUCCAUGUAAAUUGACCCCCUCAGAAUUCGAGGCAACAGCAGAAAGUGUAUUUUAUAAUUUGACAUUUAAGUGUUAAUGUGACAUCUGAAAAGGUUUAACAACUGCAUCACAUGAGUACCUAAAUGUAUUUUUUAUUUUUAAAGCAUGAAAAUAUCCCUUAAAUUCCAAACCAAUGUAAUAAAUUAAAGAAAUUCAGUGUUCACAAUUUCAGUUUCCAUUAGUGUUCCAUUUCCGUUUUAAAGUUGUUUUCUUCUCCCUCACCCUAACAUUUUCAAUUGAAAUGUCAUUGCAUGGAAAU